CGACGCACAUAUUCAUAAUUAUUAUUAAGUAGGAAUAAAUCUUAGCUAAGCUACGACACGUUCGUGAUUAAUUGCCUUUUCUUUUGUUAUGCAUUGUUUUAAUUAGGCACAGAGGUGAAAAUAUGCGAUUUUGACUAACAUUUUUAAUCGGCCUCGUAAUUCUUAUUUCUUCUCCACUAAUUAGCAUGAAAAGCAUGUCAUUCAACAGCUAAAAGCCUGAUCUUUUCGAAUAUGAAAACCAAUUGUUCAUACGCCGAGUAAUUCACGU